rnacentral:rRNA from 1 species
AGUGAACGCUGGCGGUAGGCCUAACACAUGCAAGUCGAACGGCAGCACAGUAAGAGCUUGCUCUUACGGGUGGCGAGUGGCGGACGGGUGAGGUAUACAUCGGAAUCUACUUUUUCGUGGGGGAUAACGUAGGGAAACUUACGCUAAUACCUCAUACGACCUACGGGUGAAAGCAGGGGAUCUUCGUACCUUGCGCGAUUGAAUGAGCCGAUGUCGGAUUAGCUAGUUGGCGGGGUAAAGGCCCACCAAGGCGACGAUCCGUAGCUGGUCUGAGAGGAUGAUCAGCCACACUGGAACUGAGACACGGUCCAGACUCCUAAGGGAGGCAGCAGUGGGGAAUAUUGGACAAUGGGCGCAAGCAUGAUCCAGCCAUACCGCGUGGGUGAAGAAGGCCUUCGGGUUGUAAAGACCUUUUGUUGGGAAAGAAAAGCAGCAGGUUAAUAACCCGCUGUUCUGACGGUACCCAAAGAAUAAGCACCGGCUAACUUCGUG